rnacentral:rRNA from 1 species
CUGCUCUUUAACAAUUUAUCAGACAAUCUGUGUGGGCACUCGAAGAUACGGAUUCUUAACGUCCUCGGACGAAAAAUGAAUACCAAGUCUCAAGAGUGAACACGUAAUUCAUUACGAAGUUUAAUUCUUUGAGCAUCAAACUUUUAAAUUGAAGAGUUUGAUCAUGGCUCAGAUUGAACGCUGGCGGCAGGCCUAACACAUGCAAGUCGAACGGUAACAGGAAGCAGCUUGCUGCUUUGCUGACGAGUGGCGGACGGGUGAGUAAUGUCUGGGAAACUGCCUGAUGGAGGGGGAUAACUACUGGAAACGGUGGCUAAUACCGCAUAACGUCGCAAGACCAAAGAGGGGGACCUUCGGGCCUCUUGCCAUCAGAUGUGCCCAGAUGGGAUUAGCUUGUUGGUGAGGUAACGGCUCACCAAGGCGACGAUCCCUAGCUGGUCUGAGAGGAUGACCAGCCACACUGGAACUGAGACACGGUCCAGACUCCUACGGGAGGCAGCAGUGGGGAAUAUUGCACAAUGGGCGCAAGCCUGAUGCAGCCAUGCCGCGUGUAUGAAGAAGGCCUUCGGGUUGUAAAGUACUUUCAGCGGGGAGGAAGGUGUUGUGGUUAAUAACCGCAGCAAUUGACGUUACCCGCAGAAGAAGCACCGGCUAACUCCGUGCCAGCAGCCGCGGUAAUACGGAGGGUGCAAGCGUUAAUCGGAAUUACUGGGCGUAAAGCGCACGCAGGCGGUCUGUCAAGUCGGAUGUGAAAUCCCCGGGCUCAACCUGGGAACUGCAUUCGAAACUGGCAGGCUUGAGUCUUGUAGAGGGGGGUAGAAUUCCAGGUGUAGCGGUGAAAUGCGUAGAGAUCUGGAGGAAUACCGGUGGCGAAGGCGGCCCCCUGGACAAAGACUGACGCUCAGGUGCGAAAGCGUGGGGAGCAAACAGGAUUAGAUACCCUGGUAGUCCACGCCGUAAACGAUGUCUACUUGGAGGUUGUGCCCUUGAGGCGUGGCUUCCGGAGCUAACGCGUUAAGUAGACCGCCUGGGGAGUACGGCCGCAAGGUUAAAACUCAAAUGAAUUGACGGGGGCCCGCACAAGCGGUGGAGCAUGUGGUUUAAUUCGAUGCAACGCGAAGAACCUUACCUGGUCUUGACAUCCACAGAAGAAUCCAGAGAUGGAUUUGUGCCUUCGGGAACUGUGAGACAGGUGCUGCAUGGCUGUCGUCAGCUCGUGUUGUGAAAUGUUGGGUUAAGUCCCGCAACGAGCGCAACCCUUAUCCUUUGUUGCCAGCGGUUAGGCCGGGAACUCAAAGGAGACUGCCAGUGAUAAACUGGAGGAAGGUGGGGAUGACGUCAAGUCAUCAUGGCCCUUACGACCAGGGCUACACACGUGCUACAAUGGCGCAUACAAAGAGAAGCGACCUCGCGAGAGCAAGCGGACCUCAUAAAGUGCGUCGUAGUCCGGAUUGGAGUCUGCAACUCGACUCCAUGAAGUCGGAAUCGCUAGUAAUCGUGGAUCAGAAUGCCACGGUGAAUACGUUCCCGGGCCUUGUACACACCGCCCGUCACACCAUGGGAGUGGGUUGCAAAAGAAGUAGGUAGCUUAACCUUCGGGAGGGCGCUUACCACUUUGUGAUUCAUGACUGGGGUGAAGUCGUAACAAGGUAACCGUAGGGGAACCUGCGGUUGGAUCACCUCCUUACC